rnacentral:rRNA from 1 species
UACGGAGGGUGCAAACGUUGCUCGGAAUCAUUGGGCGUAAAGCGCGUGUAGGCGGCUCGAUAAGUCUGCUGUGAAAGUCCAGGGCUCAACCCUGGAAUGCCGGUGGAAACUGUCGAGCUAGAGUCCGGAAGAGGCGAGUGGAAUUCCUGGUGUAGCGGUGGAAUGCGCAGAUAUCAGGAGGAACACCAAUGGCGAAGGCAGAUCUCUGGGCCGUAACUGACGCUGAGGAGCGAAAGCAUGGGUAGCGAACAGG